GGAAUCUUCCACAAUGGACGCAAGUCUGAUGGAGCAACGCCGCGUGAGUGAAGAAGGGUUUCGGCUCGUAAAGCUCUGUUGUUAAAGAAGAACGUGGGUAAGAGUAACUGUUUACCCAGUGACGGUAUUUAACCAGAAGGCCACGGCUAACUACGUGCCUG
rnacentral:rRNA from 1 species